rnacentral:lncRNA from 1 species
GUUUGGGAUGAUCAUGGUCUCGUUGGACUCAGUUUUUCAUCGCAAAUCUCGCUAUGGGCUCAAUAUGAACCGAAUCUCGAGGUGUCAAAUUCUAACAUGAAUCAUACAGCAAAUACAUCAGAAAACAAAAUGGUUCCCAAGAAAGGUGGGACGCAGGUCUGCUGCUCCGUGAUGAAGUCCUCAUCGAUAGCCCGUGCAGCUAUCCAGUCUGCUGUUUGAUUUUCUUUGCGACAGACAUGGGUUGCCUUGAAUGCAAAGCACGUCCUCUUC